ACCACAGGUAAUGGUCAUGAAUACUUAUUUUCAUUCCUUUAAUUGUAUUUUAUAGUUAGUCAAACACUCUGUUAAUUACAAUCUUUCCUCAUAUUUUUUCUUUAUUCUCUCACAGCCAUUUUCACUGUCUAAUGCUGCUGCUGUACAUUUUGGUACCUACGUAAAGAUCCAAGAAUAAAUUUUGGCCCGGAUCAUGGAAUAUUUACUCACUUUGAAAUGCGGAUGUGACCUGCCUUCUCCUUCUGCAACUACCAGGGUGACCAAAGGCAGUGGAAUAUACACCAAGACUGGAAAGAAUACAAUCAGAGGGAAAGCAAGCUGUCAAGAGAAUAGUGUACUGAAGAGGAAAAAUGAAUUUGCUGCCUGUGGUAAACAAGCCUCCUCGAGGCUCCCCGCGGUGUGCGUGGUGUCUGGCGGCUGGAGCAGGAGACGUUUCCACAACUGCUCCCCUUUCAGCUGAACGUGGCCAUGCAGUAGGUGGCCAAAUCUGUUUGGCUUUCACCGAGAUCUGUGAAUUCCCUGCAUCCAACCAACUUGUCAAAUUAAAACCUUGCCUGCUCCGUGCUGAAGAACAGACGUGCGAUGGAAGCUUCUUGCACUCUAGCCUUUUGUCACCAGCACGCUGAGCUCCCAACAUCUGCUCGCUGGACCCGGCUUUUGCACCUUGCUCAUUUUUAAUGCGGCAAACCUCAGCUUCCACAGCACAGGACUUAAUGUGCCCCUGGUUUUAAAAAAAAGAAAUUCAGAAAAAGGAACAUCCGGAGGGGAGGAGAACAGAAAUUGAGGCUCUAAUAUACACGUUCCUCACCGAUUUGGGAAUAAACAUAUUUUUAAGUGAGAGGUUUGUUGGAUUGUACUUUUUUAUCUCAGUAAUGCUUUUUUGUACAGUGAAUUGUUGACUUUUUUCCCAUGCUUUAGAUUUAUUAGACAUGUGUCAAGUUGUCAGCCUCCUACCGCUUGCAUUUGUGUCCACCUUGCAAACAGCAGGGAAAAAUAUUUUUUUCCCUUCUCUCUCUCUCUUUCUCUCUCUCCUAUGAAUGUUCA
rnacentral:lncRNA from 12 species